GUGAGGGCCGGGAGGAGCUCCACCUUCAUGUCGGCUUGCGUGACCGUCUUCGACUUCCUCUGCUCGUGCUCUGUGUGCAGGAAGAAAGCUCGCAGCCACACGGGACCUAGGGGAGCCAAAAACAGCCAGACUUCAGACGCACAGUUCUUAAAGAAGCAACUGAGUCAUAAGAAGCUCUGCCAUAAAAAAAGGGAAGGAAAACAAAGACAACGAGGCCUUCCACUGCCAGCAACCCACAGCACAGGCCUGGGUCCAUGCGCAUGCAGGGUGAGAGACACGAGCCUCUACAAAUCACGCAUCAGUUGUCCUCAAACCCCAAGGCCCCCACAUGCCACUGAAGGUGCCUGCGUUGCUCUGAAUCAUGCUGGCUCAGCUCCUGGUUCAUUUUGCACCACUGCCUCCAGCCCUAAUGCUCCGCACUUGGUGCUUGGUAACCUCCAUGGGUGCCAAAGGGAGGGGUGAUAAUUCUCUUAUCAGCCUGGCCCACUCUCAGAACAGCUCGGUCCUGAUAAGAGGCAGCUUCAGGGAGCAGAGGCCCCGCAGGCUGCCUGCAGCCCACCCGGAGCUCCAGAGGCUGACCCACAGAGUGCUGCAAAGCCAGGACCAAAGCUCCCACUGUGCAUGCAGCUGCAAACCCAGCACAGGGGUGGCAGCACCCCUAGGGCCCCUCCAGUACCACUAUCCUGCCCAGAACAUCUUCCCCUUCUGCAUCACUACCUCGCCUGCUUGUACUGGGAAGGAGGCACGGAGGGGAGAUGGGGGUAAAAUUAAAUGCAAAAAAAUAAUCCCAAGGCACAACAGUGUAGGCAUGCUCUGGGUAUUUGACACAGAAGGCACGUAGUGUUAAAGAAAGCAUCCAUACCUGCCAAGUGGUCCUUAGGGGCAGAAAAGUCCUUUUU